rfam:Sphaerobolus stellatus SS14 unplaced genomic scaffold SPHSTscaffold_6, whole genome shotgun sequence.
GUCGCAGUAGCUCAGUGGUUAGAGUAUACGAUUGCAAAUCGUGUGGCCCCGCGUUCAAAUCGCGGCUGUGACU